UGGAGCUCCACUCUCGAACCGGAAAUACGUCACCUCCACUUGAAAACAUCAAGAUGGCGUCGCCGUGAGUUCUUCAAACUUAAACUCAGGGAUAGGAUUGGCAUGGAAGAUGCAGCACUCUUUACAUUUUAAAUGUAUAUUGCGACCCUAGAAGUCAAAGUCUUUUUACAUGUUACAUUAACAUGUACAUAUUAUUUUUUUUCUAUUUUGUUGUUCUAUUAUUCUAUUGUUUGACUUUUUUGUUUCGGAUCAAAUGUAUAUCAAGUGUUAUCCAUCCUCAUAACACCUCCACAAAUAGAGACUGGAACUUCUGAGCACCAUCACCUUGUCUGCUUUGGGACUGUCGUAGGUGAAUGAUGCCGUACUUUUCUGUGUUGAAUUUACAUAACGUCAGUACACAGACAUAGUUUUGUUCCAGUUUUGCUGUACUCAUGUCUUCUUUGUGUCCCCAGGCCAGCAAUCAGAUGCAUCAGAACAACAAAGCACAACUGUGGUAGCCCAGGCACCUUCAGCAACAAGAAAAUUGCUUUAACAUUACUGACAAUGCAAUGUCAGUAUUGUGAUUAAACUUGACCCAUCUGAUGUAAUUGUUCAUGCCAGAGAUUUAACAUCAUUGUCAGUCAGGAGCAUAUUUAACAGGAGGCACACUUCAGCUGGCUUGAUAGUAAGUUCAGUGCAGUGAAGAUAUUUAAAGAGACACUAUCACUAUCUAAUCUACAGAAAGCCGUACAUCAUCUCUAGGUGCAGUCGCCUACAGUGCAGCCAGCUUCACAAAGACUGUGGGGCUGGUUACCAGAAAAAU